CCCUCAAUAAACUGUGUCCAAGAAUGGAAACAUACAGAGGAAAGUAAUGCUAAGAAAUAGAGAUGAUAUUUUAAAAUAUAUUUUGGGGGACUGGGUCUAAAGCCAUUUCAUGAUUUUAAGGUUUCCAAGUUUCAUUAGCCAAUAAAUUCCCUUUUAAUUUCAAACCAUUAUGUGCUAGCUUCUGU